GACGAACGCUGGCGGCGUGCCUAAUACAUGCAAGUCGAGCGAACCUAUCAGGAAGUUCCGCCUGCUUGCACUCCGUGGAACGAGAUACAAGCUAGCGGCUAACGUCCGAGUAAAACGGGGGUAACCUGCGCAAGCGAUCGGGAUAACACCUGAAUAUAUUUACUAAUAUCGGAUAAUAACAAAUGAUGCCUAUCAUCUGAUUAAAAGAUGGUUCUGCUAUCCCUCUUGUAGUGGGCUGCGGUGCAGUAGCUAGUUGGUAAGGUAACGGCCUACCAAGGCGACGAUGCAUAGCCGAGUUGAGAGACUGAUCGGCCACAUUGGAACUGAGACACGGCCCAGACUCCUACGGGAGGCAGCAGUAGGGAAUCUUCCGCAAUGGACGAAAGUCUGAUGGAGCAACGCCGCGUGAGUGAUGAAGGUUUUCGGAUCGUAAAGCUCUGUUGUUAGGGAAGAACGAAUGGGGUAGUAACUGAGCAUUGUUUGACGGUACUUAAUCAGAAAGCCACGGCUAACUACGUG
rnacentral:rRNA from 1 species